ensembl:snRNA U6 U6 spliceosomal RNA
GCGCUCCGUAGCAGCACAUAUGCUAAAAUUGGAACGAUACAGAGAAGAUUGGCAUGGCCCCUCUGCAAGGAUGACACGUCAAUUUGUAAAGCAUUCUAUAUUUUU